rnacentral:tRNA from 1 species
GGCGGGUUGCCCGAGCGGCCAAUGGGAGCGGACUGUAAAUCCGUCGGCUUUGCCUUCGAAGGUUCGAAUCCUUCACCCGCCACCC